rnacentral:lncRNA from 1 species
CUGGAGUGGAUGGCCAUUCCCUUCUCCAGGGAGUCUUCCUGACCUCAGGAUUGAACCAUGUUUCCCACAUUGCAGACAGAUUCUUUCCAUCUGAGCCAGCAGGGAAGCCUGCAAACAUCCUGAAUGAAAGGGGCAUCACAAUUGAAUCUGUUAGGAUACCUUGGGUAGCAAGAUACAGAAAAUCAAGUAAAUUGACUCUAAGAAAAUAAGGAAACUAACUGAUUCAUAUGACCAAAAAAAUCAAAUUCUAUCAUGCACUUCUUAUCUUUAGGGACCUGGGAGCUUCACGGGAUUAGAGCCAAAUGCGUGCAUAUCUCAGUGGAGACUUUACACUGCAAAUCCCUUCUGCUACUGGAAGGACUCAAAGAUUAUAAUCUUCCUUUAUUGCUGCCUCCCCCUAAGUAUUUAAUAGGAAGAAACACGAUAGAGGAAGAGAACUCUUGA